rnacentral:rRNA from 1 species
UACAGAGGUCUCAAGCGUUGUUCGGAAUCACUGGGCGUAAAGGGCGCGUAGGCGGCCGCUUGCGUCGGAUGUGAAAGCCCGGGGCUCAACCCCGGAACGGCAUCCGAUACGGGGCGGCUCGAGACCGAGAGAGGUGAGUGGAAUACCCAGUGUAGAGGUGAAAUUCGUAGAUAUUGGGUGGAACACCGGUGGCGAAAGCGGCUCACUGGCUCGGUUCUGACGCUGAGGCGCGAAAGCGUGGGGAGCAAACAGG